AUAUGUGUGUGUGUGUGUGUGUGUGUAGAGCAGUGCUUUUCAAACGUUUUGCUGGAGCGGAACCCCAAGAAAACAUUCCAUUGGCUCGAGGAACCCCCGUGCAAUAAUUUGAUAGUCUUAUGCACACAUAUCUGCACAGGAGAAUUAAAAAUUACUGCCGAUUUUAGCAGUUUUGUAACUUCUUGCGGAACCCCUGGACUGUACUGGCGGAACCCUGGUUGAAAACCACUGCUCUAA